rnacentral:rRNA from 1 species
GAUGAACGCUGGCGGCGUGCCUAAUACAUGCAAGUCGAGCGAACAGACGAGGAGCUUGCUCCUCUGACGUUAGCGGCGGACGUGUGAGUAACACGUGGAUAACCUACCUAUAAUACUGGGAUAACUUCGGGAAACCGGAUCUAAUACCGGAUAAUAUAUUGAACCGCAUGGUUCAAUAGUGAAAGACGGUUUUGCUUUCACUUAUAGAUGGAUCCGCGCCGCAUUAGCUAGUUGGUAAGGUAAAGGCUUACCAAGGCGACGAUGCGUAGCCGACCUGAGAGGGUGAUCGGCGACACUGGAACUGAGACACGGUACAGACGCCUACGGGAGGCAGCAGUAGGGAAUCUGACGCAAUGGGCGAAAGCAUGACGGAGCAACGGCGCGUGAGUGAUGAAGGUGUUCGGAUCGUAAAACUCUGUUAUUAGGGAAGAACAAAUGUGUAAGUAACUAUGCACGUCUUGACGGUAACUAAUCAGAAAGCCACGGCUAACUACGUG